rnacentral:rRNA from 1 species
GGCCAGACUCCUACGGGAGGCAGCAGUGGGGAAUAUUGCACAAUGGGGGAAACCCUGAUGCAGCGACGCCGCGUGAGUGAAGAAGUAUUUCGGUAUGUAAAGCUCUAUCAGCAGGGAAGAAAAUGACGGUACCUGACUAAGAAGCCCCGGCUAACUACGUGCCAGCAGCCGCGGUAAUACGUAGGGGGCAAGCGUUAUCCGGAUUUACUGGGUGUAAAGGGAGCGUAGACGGUCCUGCAAGCCAGAUGUGAAAGCCCGGGGCUCAACCCCGGGACUGCUCUGGAAACUGUACGGCUGGAGUGCAGGAGAGGUAAGUGGAAUUCCUAGUGUAGCGGUGAAAUGCGUAGAUAUUAGGAGGAACACCAGUGGCGAAGGCGGCUUACUGGACUGUAACUGACGUUGAGGCUCGAAAGCGUGGGGAGCAAACAGGAUUAGAUACCCUGGUAA